CACCGAAGCUGCGGCAGCGACACUGUGUGUUGUUGGGUAGGGGAGCGUUCUGUAAGCCUGCGAAGGUGGCCUGUGAGGGUUGCUGGAGGUAUCAGAAGUGCGAAUGCUGACAUAAGUAACGAUAAAGCGGGUGAAAAGCCCGCUCGCCGGAAGACCAAGGGUUCCUGUCCAACGUUAAUCGGGGCAGGGUGAGUCGACCCCUAAGGCGAGGCCGAAAGGCGUAGUCGAUGGGAAACGGGUUAAUAUUCCCGUACUUGGUGUUACUGCGAAGGGGGGACGGAGAAGGCUAUGUUGGCCGGGCGACGGUUGUCCCGGUUUAAGCGUGUAGGUGUGUGUUCCAGGUAAAUCCGGUUCACUUUAACACUGAGGCGUGACGACGAGGCACUACGGUGCUGAAGCAACAAAUGCCCUGCUUCCAGGAAAAGCCUCUAAGCAUCAGGUAACAUCAAAUCGUACCCCAAACCGACACAGGUGGUCAGGUAGAGAAUACCAAGGCGCUUGAGAGAACUCGGGUGAAGGAACUAGGCAAAAUGGUGCCGUAACUUCGGGAGAAGGCACGCUGACACGUAGGUGAAGUGAUUUACUCAUGGAGCUGAAGUCAGUCGAAGAUACCAGCUGGCUGCAACUGUUUAUUAAAAACACAGCACUGUGCAAACACGAAAGUGGACGUAUACGGUGUGACGCCUGCCCGGUGCCGGAAGGUUAAUUGAUGGGGUCAGCGCAAGCGAAGCUCCUGAUCGAAGCCCCGGUAAACGGCGGCCGUAACUAUAACGGUCCUAAGGUAGCGAAAUUCCUUGUCGGGUAAGUUCCGACCUGCACGAAUGGCGUAAUGAUGGCCAGGCUGUCUCCACCCGAGACUCAGUGAAAUUGAACUCGCUGUGAAGAUGCAGUGUACCCGCGGCAAGACGGAAAGACCCCGUGAACCUUUACUAUAGCUUGACACUGAACAUUGAGCCUUGAUGUGUAGGAUAGGUGGGAGGCUUUGAAGUGUGGACGCCAGUCUGCAUGGAGCCGACCUUGAAAUACCACCCUUUAAUGUUUGAUGUUCUAACGUGGACCCGUUACCCGGGUUGCGGACAGUGUCUGGUGGGUAGUUUGACUGGGGCGGUCUCCUCCUAAAGAGUAACGGAGGAGCACGAAGGUUGGCUAAUCCUGGUCGGACAUCAGGAGGUUAGUGCAAUGGCAUAAGCCAGCUUGACUGCGAGCGUGACGGCGCGAGCAGGUGCGAAAGCAGGUCAUAGUGAUCCGGUGGUUCUGAAUGGAAGGGCCAUCGCUCAACGGAUAAAAGGUACUCCGGGGAUAACAGGCUGAUACCGCCCAAGAGUUCAUAUCGACGGCGGUGUUUGGCACCUCGAUGUCGGCUCAUCACAUCCUGGGGCUGAAGUAGGUCCCAAGGGUAUGGCUGUUCGCCAUUUAAAGUGGUACGCGAGCUGGGUUUAGAACGUCGUGAGACAGUUCGGUCCCUAUCUGCCGUGGGCGCUGGAGAACUGAGGGGGGCUGCUCCUAGUACGAGAGGACCGGAGUGGACGCAUCACUGGUGUUCGGGUUGUCAUGCCAAUGGCACUGCCCGGUAGCUAAAUGCGGAAGAGAUAAGUGCUGAAAGCAUCUAAGCACGAAACUUGCCCCGAGAUGAGUUCUCCCUGAGACUUAGAGUCUCCUGAAGGAACGUUGAAGACGACGACGUUGAUAGGCCGGGUGUGUAAGCGCAGCGAUGCGUUGAGCUAACCGGUACUAAUGAACCGUGAGGCUUAACCUUACAACGCCGAAG
rnacentral:rRNA from 1 species